AUAUCAACAGUACAACGAUUGAAAUUUCUUUUGAGAACCAAAUUUUUUAAACUUAAACUAUAUAGGUAGGUACAUUGUUCUUAACUUAAUUAGCGUACUCCUAAGCUGGCCUUUACCAAAAAUGUUU